rnacentral:rRNA from 1 species
CACGUAGGGCGCAAGCGUUUGUCCGGAAUUAUUGGGCGUAAAGAGCUCGUAGGCGGUUUGUCGCGUCUGCUGUGAAAACCUAAGGCUCAACCUUGGGCUUGCAGUGGGUACGGGCAGACUAGAGUGCGGUAGGGGUGACUGGAAUUCCUGGUGUAGCGGUGGAAUGCGCAGAUAUCAGGAGGAACACCGAUGGCGAAGGCAGGUCACUGGGCCGCAACUGACGCU